rnacentral:lncRNA from 1 species
UCGUCUAGAAUUUCAGUGGAUUGAGUGAAGAGAGAAGAAAAGAUGGUAAUUGAUUUUUUUUUUUUUUUUUUCUUUUCUGUUUGUAAUCGGGCCAAAUGGACUGGAUGUGGUGGGUUGAGUAGAGUAAUCUUUUAUUUUUGGUUGGAUUGGGCUUUAUAUUUAGGCAUUAGUAGAUGUGUUUUUAAGUUUUAGUAUAAAUAGGACACUUACUCAAAAGUGUCUCAAACAUGUGUCCCUAUAACCUAAUUCUGUUGUAGUGACAAAAGCAAAACCAAAAGCACACCGACCGUCCUUAGAGCAAGUGACAAAAGCUUUGGUGGUUGGUACCCAAGACCCAAGUUCAAAUCCUAGUUGAUUCAUAUUUCUAGCUAAGUUUAUUUCUAAAUGAAAUAAACGAAGCAGGUAGCGUUGUACCUAUCUCUCCAAAAAAAAAAAAAACAAGAGAAAAAGCACACAAUAAAAUCCAAAACAGCCUCUACAAAAUUAACUUUUUUAAACAUAUGGUAAGAAAAGCUGACCAUCACUCAUUGUAUAUAUAUAUAUAUAUAUAUAACUGGGCUGGAAUACUAUUAAUAGCACCAAUGACUUGGUGCUAUUAAGUUUUCCGCCUUUGGAUUAGAAGAUGUGUGGUUAGGAUGAUAUGGGCCCCUAAGGGUUGAGUGGGUGGUUGGUUGAAUAGUAUAAUUUAAUAGAUAAAAAUAAUCAAAGGGGUUAAUCUAACGGCAGAAAAUUUGAUAGCACCAAGUGCUUGGUGCCAUCGAUAGCAUAGCAGCUGGUACUAUUGAAUUUUCUAUAUAUAUAUAUAUAUAGAUAUAUAUAUAUAUAUAGUCCGACUACUAUACUAUCCAUAGUACCAAACUCUAUAUAUAUAGUCCGGCUACUAUACUAUCCAUAGUACCAAACUCUUGGUACUAUUGAAUUUUCUACCGUUAAAUUUACCCUUUGAUAAUUUCCACCCGUUAGAUUAUACUAUUCAACCAACCACCCACUCAACACUAAAAAACUACUAUCCUUCUAACCGCACAUCGUUUCAUCCGACAGCCGAACACUCAAUAGUACUAAGCGUUUGAUACAAUUGAUGGUAUAGUAGCAUAUAUA